GUGACAGCCGCCGCGGUAAUACGUAGGUGGCAAGCGUUGUCCGGAAUUACUGGGUGUAAAGGGAGCGUAGGCGGGCUCGCAAGUUGAAUGUUAAAUCUAUCGGCUCAACCGGUAGCUGCGUUCAAAACUGCGAGUCUUGAGUGAAGUAGAGGCAGGCGGAAUUCCUAGUGUAGCGGUGAAAUGCGUAGAUAUUAGGAGGAACACCAGUGGCGAAGGCGGCCUGCUGGGCUUUUACUGACGCUGAGGCUCGAAAGCAUGGGGAGCAAACAGGAUUAGAUACCCUCGUAGUCC
rnacentral:rRNA from 1 species